rnacentral:rRNA from 1 species
GAUGAACGCUAGCGGCAGGCUUAAUACAUGCAAGUCGAGGGGCAGCAUGAUUGUAGCAAUACAAUUGAUGGCGACCGGCAAACGGGUGCGGAACACGUACACAACCUUCCAACAAGUGGGGGAUAGCCCAGAGAAAUUUGGAUUAAUACCCCGUAACAUAGCGAUGUGGCAUCACAUUGCUAUUAUAGAUUUUUCGCUUGUUGAUGGGUGUGCGGCUGAUUAGAUAGUUGGCGGGGUAACGGCCCACCAAGUCUACGAUCAGUAGCUGAUGUGGGAGCAUGAUCAGCCACACGGGCACUGAGACACGGGCCCGACGCCUACGGGAGGCAGCAGUAAGGAAUAUUGGACAAUGGACGCAAGUCUGAUCCAGCCAUGCCGCGUGAAGGAUUAAGGUCCUCUGGAUUGUAAACUUCUUUUAUAAGGGACGAAAAAAGGCUUUUCUAAGUCGUCUGACGGUACCUUAUGAAUAAGCACCGGCUAACUCCGUGCCAGCAGCCGCCGCCGUAA